rnacentral:piRNA from 1 species
UGGAUGCUGAAAUUCGAAUUGCUGAGU